AGCGAACGCUGGCGGCAGGCCUAACACAUGCAAGUCGAACGAAGCCUUCGGGCUUGGUGGCGGACGGGUGAGUAACACGUGGGAACGUACCUUUUGGUUCGGAACAACUCAGGGAAACUUGAGCUAAUACCGGAUGAGCCCUUAGGGGGAAAGAUUUAUCGCCGAAAGAGCGGCCCGCGUUAGAUUAGCUAGUUGGUGAGGUAAAGGCUCACCAAGGCAACGAUCUAUAGCUGGUCUGAGAGGAUGAUCAGCCACACUGGGACUGAGACCAGGCCCAGCCUCCUACGGGAGGCAGCAGUGGGGAAUCUUGCGCAAUGGGCGAAAGCCUGACGCAGCCAUGCCGCGUGAAUGAUGAAGGUCUUAGGAUUGUAAAAUUCUUUUACCAGGGACGAUAAUGACGGUACCUGGAGAAAAAGCCCCGGCUAACUUCGUGCCAGCAGCCGCCGUAAAAC
rnacentral:rRNA from 1 species